rnacentral:rRNA from 1 species
AUACGGAGGAUCCGAGCGUUCUCCGGAUUUAUUGGGUUUAAAGGGUGCGCAGGCGGGAGAUUCAGUCGGCGGUGGAAUUUUGCAGGUCCACUGGUAAAGGGCCUUCGAAAAUGGUUUUCUUGAGUGUCGCUGAAGGUGGCGGAAAUUGGUGUGUAGCGGUGUAAUGCAUAGAUAUCACGAGGAACUCCGAUUGCGCAGGCAGCUUACUAAACUACUACUGACGCUCAGGCACGAAGGCGUGGGGAUCAAACAGGAUUAGAUACCCUGGUAGUCCACGCAGUAAACGAUGAUUACUAGCUGUUUGCGAUACAAUGUAAGCGGCUGAGCGAAAGCGUUAAGUAAUCCACCUGGGGAGUACGUUCGCAAGAAUGAAACUCAAAUGAAGUGACGGGG